rnacentral:rRNA from 1 species
GAAUGCUGACAUAAGUAACGAUAAAGCGGGUGAAAAGCCCGCUCGCCGGAAGACCAAGGGUUCCUGUCCAACGUUAAUCGGGGCAGGGUGAGUCGACCCCUAAGGCGAGGCCGAAAGGCGUAGUCGAUGGGAAACGGGUUAAUAUUCCCGUACUUGGUGUUACUGCGAAGGGGGGACGGAGAAGGCUAUGUUGGCCGGGCGACGGUUGUCCCGGUUUAAGCGUGUAGGCUGGUUUUCCAGGCAAAUCCGGAAAAUCAAGGCUGAGGCGUGACGACGAGGCACUACGGUGCUGAAGCAACAAAUGCCCUGCUUCCAGGAAAAGCCUCUAAGCAUCAGGUAACAUCAAAUCGUACCCCAAACCGACACAGGUGGUCAGGUAGAGAAUACCAAGGCGCUUGAGAGAACUCGGGUGAAGGAACUAGGCAAAAUGGUGCCGUAACUUCGGGAGAAGGCACGCUGACACGUAGGUGAAGUGAUUUACUCAUGGAGCUGAAGUCAGUCGAAGAUACCAGCUGGCUGCAACUGUUUAUUAAAAACACAGCACUGUGCAAACACGAAAGUGGACGUAUACGGUGUGACGCCUGCCCGGUGCCGGAAGGUUAAUUGAUGGGGUCAGCGCAAGCGAAGCUCCUGAUCGAAGCCCCGGUAAACGGCGGCCGUAACUAUAACGGUCCUAAGGUAGCGAAAUUCCUUGUCGGGUAAGUUCCGACCUGCACGAAUGGCGUAAUGAUGGCCAGGCUGUCUCCACCCGAGACUCAGUGAAAUUGAACUCGCUGUGAAGAUGCAGUGUACCCGCGGCAAGACGGAAAGACCCCGUGAACCUUUACUAUAGCUUGACACUGAACAUUGAGCCUUGAUGUGUAGGAUAGGUGGGAGGCUUUGAAGCGUGGACGCCAGUCUGCGUGGAGCCGGCCUUGAAAUACCACCCUUUAAUGUUUGAUGUUCUAACGUGGACCCGUAAUCCGGGUUGCGGACAGUGUCUGGUGGGUAGUUUGACUGGGGCGGUCUCCUCCUAAAGAGUAACGGAGGAGCACGAAGGUUGGCUAAUCCUGGUCGGACAUCAGGAGGUUAGUGCAAUGGCAUAAGCCAGCUUGACUGCGAGCGUGACGGCGCGAGCAGGUGCGAAAGCAGGUCAUAGUGAUCCGGUGGUUCUGAAUGGAAGGGCCAUCGCUCAACGGAUAAAAGGUACUCCGGGGAUAACAGGCUGAUACCGCCCAAGAGUUCAUAUCGACGGCGGUGUUUGGCACCUCGAUGUCGGCUCAUCACAUCCUGGGGCUGAAGUAGGUCCCAAGGGUAUGGCUGUUCGCCAUUUAAAGUGGUACGCGAGCUGGGUUUAGAACGUCGUGAGACAGUUCGGUCCCUAUCUGCCGUGGGCGCUGGAAGAUUGAGGGGGGCUG